rnacentral:ncRNA from 1 species
UUUUUUAUUAAUAAAUAACUAGGGUUAUUAAUAUAAUUAGUAUAUUAGUAAGCGUAUUUAUUUUAAAAUAUAAUAAAUAAGUUUGGCUCUAGCUUUGAAAUAUAACAAGAACUAAAUAAUACACAUGGAUUUUAUUGAGAUAAGUGAGAUAAAGGAAAAUAUAAUAUAAAUAAAUAAUUUAAAUUUAUAUUUUCUUUUAUGGUAUUAUAAUAUAAAUAAUGCCUUGAUAUGUCCCACUAACACCAGUGAUGAAGAUUAAUUAAAAAGUGAUAGCUUGUAUUAGUUUAGUACAUGAAAUUUGGUUAACUUGGUGCCAGCAUCCGCGGUUAAACCAAGAAAUUAAGUUAUAUUUUUAGGUAAAAAUAUAGUUAGGUUUAUAUUACAAAUAGCUUGUUAAUCUUUUAUAAAAAAGUAAAAUUUAUAUAUAAAUUGUAUAUAUAAUUAUAGCUAAUAUUGCUGAAGCUAUGAAAGUCAUGAGGGAAACUGGGAUUAGAUACCCCAUUAUUCUGUACUGUAAAUAUAAUUAAAUUUACCAGAGAACUAUGAAUAUUUAUAUUUAAAACUCAAAGAGCUUGGCGGUGUUUUAGACCAAUUAGGGGAACCUGUCUCAUAAUCGACAAUCCACGUUGAACCUAACCUAUUUUUGUUUACAACUUGUAUACCGUCGUCGUCAGGUAACUUUUAAAAAUAAAGAAGUUAGCAAUAUUAAUUUUAUAAAUUUAAACGUCAGAUCAAGGUGCAGUCUAUAUGUAGGAGUAGAUGGGUUACAAUUAUAUAUUUAUAAUAACGGAAAUUUUUUUGAAAUAUAUUAUUUAAAGGAGGACUUGAAAGUAAAAUAUAAUAGAUAAACAAUUUGAAUAAGGCUCUGAAACGUGCACACAUCGCCCGUCGCUCUCGUUGAAAAAUGAGAUAAGUCGUAACAUAGCAGGGGUAAUGGAAAUUGUCUCUAGA